GGUUCCUUAAUUUUCUUUCUUCCCCAUAAAGGAAAUAGGGUAAUUAGGUGGUAUACUAUAUGUAUAUGUAUUUUAGAACUCCUUCUAAUCUCAGCGCUGACCUCGACAAUAAGCGGCCUCUUAUCAUCUUGAUUCUAGAAGAUACUCAAGUUUUCUCUACACCCAUAUGGGUGGCGAGCUAUCUUCCAUGCUUAGUCAUCAAAGAGGAUCAAGCAAAAGUGGACGCAGUGAACGUUGGCUGUUUGUUCAACGAGGCCCAUGAUGCUCUGAAUCGGGUAAGUUCAAAGGCCACUAUCUUUUUAUGAUUUUGAAUUGUAGAUAUCUCUAACACUUCCUUCCUUCCUUAUUGGCUCCGAUGAUGUAUCAUGAGGCCUUUCUCCGAAUCCGAGAGGAACGCAAGGUCGAAGUCCAGGUUCUUUCUGAGAAAUGAAAUACUUAAAAGAUUCUCAGUGAGAAGCUUCAUGUAGACCUAGUAAGGCUCGAAAUGCGCAUGAAGAGAUGAUCAAGAAGGUAUUCCGAGUUCUUUAUGAUAGUGAGGGUGAGUAAAAAAUAACAACAAACAAUCCCAUUCUGGAGGUUCAACCAAGGCUUGAAUAAAUCAAGGGCCUCCAAGAGCAAAUAGAUAAAGUGCGAGCCGAAGCCGAACAUCAAAGGUUGUAUGAAUAUUUUGGCUCCACAAAAAGAAACCGUUCAAGCAGAGCUUGAUUCGGCCAAGUCACAACUUCGAUAUGCAAGAGAGAAUGCCCCGAUUCAAGCGAAUACGUUUGAGGAGCUCGAGUCCAAUUUAGCUAGUUUGACUAAAGAGGUUGAUCUUAAUAAACGUCAAUACCACACAAGAGGGGGGGUGAUUUGUGUGGUACCUAAUUUUCGCGUUAGAAGAACCUAGUUCUUCUAAGUGUUCUAAAUACAACAGUUCGUGGAAUAAUAAGAACUGAAAGUAAAGUGCACAGAUAUUUUGACGUGGAAAACACCUGGCUCAAAAGGUGAAAAAACCACGACCUACUACUUAGUAGGAGUUUCCCAAACUCCACUAAAAAUCAACGAGCCAAACAAUAUUUACAAAAACUCUUUGUAAACCUAAGGAUUAAACUCUAAUCCCUGUGUGGCACACAGCCUCAGCUGCUACGACACUAUCAAGUUAACUAAUGAGCCAAAACAACAUUUACAAAGACUCUUUGUAAACCUAAGGAUUAAACUCUAAUCCCAAUGUGGCACACAGCCUCAGCUGUUGUGACACUAUCAAGUUAACUCUAACUUGAUGACAUAAAGAACCUAAUACAAUUGCCUCUAAUAAAGCAGAAAGGUACAAUUUGAAAACUUACUAUAAUUGAACAAAACAAACAGAUG
rnacentral:lncRNA from 1 species